GAUGAAGAACGUAGCGAAAUGCGAUAAGUAGUGUGAAUUGCAGAAUUCAGUGAAUCAUCGAAUCUUUGAACGCACAUUGCGCCCCUUGGUAUCCCGAGGGGCAUGCCUGUUCGAGCGUCAUUUCAACCCUCAAGCUCUGCUUGGUAUUGAGUCCAUGUCAGCAAUGGCAGGCUCCAAAAUCAGUGGCGGCGCCGCUGGGUCCUGAACGUAGUAAUAUCUCUCGUUACAGGUGCUCGGCGUGCUUCUGCCAAAACCCCAAUUUUUCUAUGGUUGACCUCGGAUCAGGUAGGGAUACCCGCUGAACUUAAGCAUAUCAAUAAGCGGAGGA
rnacentral:misc_RNA from 1 species